AUUGAACGCUGGCGGCAGGCCUAACACAUGCAAGUCGAGCGGAUGAAGGGAGCUUGCUCCUGGAUUCAGCGGCGGACGGGUGAGUAAUGCCUAGGAAUCUGCCUGGUAGUGGGGGAUAACGUCCGGAAACGGGCGCUAAUACCGCAUACGUCCUGAGGGAGAAAGUGGGGGAUCUUCGGACCUCACGCUAUCAGAUGAGCCUAGGUCGGAUUAGCUAGUUGGUGGGGUAAAGGCCUACCAAGGCGACGAUCCGUAACUGGUCUGAGAGGAUGAUCAGUCACACUGGAACUGAGACACGGUCCAGACUCCUACGGGAGGCAGCAGUGGGGAAUAUUGGGCAAUGGGCGAAAGCCUGAUCCAGCCAUGCCGCGUGUGUGAAGAAGGUCUUCGGAGUGUAAAGCACUUUAAGUUGGGAGGAAGGGCAGUAAGUUAAUACCUUGCUGUUUUGACGUUACCAACAGAAUAAGCACCGGCUAACUUCGUG
rnacentral:rRNA from 1 species